GUGGGGAAUAUUGGACAAUGGGCGAAAGCCUGAUCCAGCAAUGCCGCGUGAGUGAUGAAGGCCUUAGGGUUGUAAAGCUCUUUUACCCGGGAAGAUAAUGACUGUACCGGGAGAAUAAGCCCCGGCUAACUCCGUGCCAGCAGCCGCGGUAAUACGGAGGGGGCUAGCGUUGUUCGGAAUUACUGGGCGUAAAGCGCACGUAGGCGGCUUUGUAAGUUAGGGGUGAAAGCCUGGUGCUCAACACCAGAACUGCCUUUGAUACUGCAUGGCUUGAAUCCGAGAGAGGUGAGUGGAAUUCCGAGUGUAGAGGUGAAAUUCGUAGAUAUUCGGAAGAACACCAGUGGCGAAGGCGGCUCACUGGCUCGGUAUUGACGCUGAGGUGCGAAAGCGUGGGGAGCAAACAGGAUUAGAAACCCCAGUAGUCC
rnacentral:rRNA from 1 species